rnacentral:lncRNA from 1 species
CAGAAGUAAAACCGAAAUCUCAGUUUUCAGCAGAAGAAGAAUGUAUUAACUUUCACAGCUGUCACAGCAUGGAGCCGACAAGUAAUACCAACUCCGUCAUAAAACCAGGUGAACUAGGAGUAAAACAGCCAUACUUAGCCAGGCUGGUUUUGACAGCAGAGUGGUUUCAAGAUAUUCCUACAGAAAUGUUUGUGGAGAGGAGAACACUGCCAAGUGUUGAAGGAGAAUGAGGAAAGGACCUCCUGACUCCUCCUGGAACGAUGUAAUCAGCCCUUCUCCCUACUUCACACUGGAGCAAACAGACAUCUGGGGAGGGAGAACUGUGCUGAAGUAGUAGCUGUGGAUGACAGAAGCUGGAGGUGGCACAGAUCAGCAGCUCCCUGG